GUACACGCUGUGACUAGCAUAUCAAUAAGCGGAGGAAAAGAAACUAACAAGGAUUCCCCUAGUAACGGCGAGUGAAGCGGGAAGAGCUCAAAUUUGAAAUCUUAAAGGGUUUCCCUUUACGAAUUGUAGUUUAAAGAAGUGUUUUCUGUUGAGGUUUUGGUAAAAGUUCUUUGGAAUAGGACAUCAUAGAGGGUGAGAAUCCCGUAUUUGACCUUUACUUUCAACUUUGUGAUACACUUUCAAAGAGUCGGAUUGUUUGGGAAUGCAGUCCAAAAUGGGUGGUAAAUUUCAUCUAAAGCUAAAUAUUGGCGAGAGACCGAUAGCGAACAAGUACCGUGAGGGAAAGAUGAAAAGAACUUUGAAAAGAGAGUUAAACAGUACGUGAAAUUGUCAAAAGGGAAGCGUUUGACACCAGUGUUGUUUUUCUGAGAAUCAAUUAAAGAACUGUUUAUGCUAAGUUGUUUAGACUUUAUCAGCUAACUGUUUAGUUUUGAACUUUUCUUUAAUGCACUUUUCAGUUAACAAGUCAACAUCAAUUUCUUUUGCUGUAAAAAAGCUUGAGGAAGGUGGCUUGAGAUUCGUCUUAAGUGUUUAUAGCCUCUUGCCUAUGCAGUCGGAGAGAUUGAGGUCUGCAGCGUAGAUCCUUCGGGGCUAAAUGCAUUUGUGCUAAGUUAUAGCAUUUUAUAGACAACUUGUUGACUAUGAUUUGUCUUGUAGCUUACUCGCUUAUGUUAUUUUACCUACGCUUAGGAUGUUGACAGCAGUAUAGACUGU
rnacentral:rRNA from 1 species